UCAGUCCUGCUCCACGUUUGUUUCACAAGGACCAACGAAGACGUUUACACUGGCAUGUAUGGAUAAUCAGUUAUGUCAAAGAGAUCCCGGUAUAAUCGGCAAACGUCAAACCAUGGCAUGCUACGAAUGUUGUGCCAGCGAUUUGUGUAACAUCCGUUUGUGUUCUUACCUGCCACCCUCUGCUUGUCAAGACGACGAAUCGUUUGAUUGCCCGCGGGCUAACACUCAUUUUGGAAUUUGCAAUAAUAUCGACGAGGCAAAGAAGAUAUGUC